UACGGAGGGGGCGAGCGUUAUUCGGAAUUAUUGGGCGUAAAGGGCGCGUAGGCGGCUGUACAAGUCAAAGGUGAAAUCCCUCGGCUCAACUGAGGAACUGCCUUUGAAACUGUACGGCUUGAGGCCGGGAGGGGUAGCGGAAUUCCCAGUGUAGCGGUGAAAUGCGUAGAUAUUGGGAGGAACACCAGUGGCGAAGGCGGCUACCUGGACCGGUUCUGACGCUGAGGCGCGAAAGCGUGGGUAGCAAACAGG
rnacentral:rRNA from 1 species